UGCGCCUUCUCCUUGUCCCAGCACCUCUGCCGUAACCCCUACAAGACUUUCCUCCCUCUUUUCCUCCCUCUGCCGCAACAUCGAGUGGGUGAAAUUUACAAAUUGAGUUAUAUUUUGGUCUCCUUUCUUUCGUUUCCUAUUAAUCUUGAAUUGUGCCUCCUGCUUUUACCUUUGCCGCCGCUUCCAUUGCCGUCACCACCACCACCGUCGCGUCCUCUCGUCCUCACUCUCCUUCCGCUCCUUCAAUUCUCAAUUCUCGACAAAUUUAGGGUUUAUGAUGUUAUAUUCAUUUUUAAAUUUUUGCCAAUCAAAGAUUGAUUUUUUUUGGUUGUUCCUCUGAUAAUGUUUGCCAUUAAUGUUAUAAAUUUGCUACUGUUUUUUUGCUUCUAAUUCAACAUUUGGACGAGGAUAGAAAAAAAGAAUUUGGAUAUUGACAUGGAUAAAGAAGGAGACGAGCAAAAGGCAAAAAAGAAAAAAGUGGGAAUGUAAAGGAGACUUGUUAGAAAAUGAAAUGGGAGACUUGCCUUUGAGCUCUUGCCAAAAGGUGGAUCAAUGUAUGAAGAAACAUUGGAGACUUACAAAUUUCAUGAUUAGAUCUCUUUGAUGCUGGAGAAGUUGCUUCUUGUAUUGAAUUUCUCAGUUUUAGCUGACGUUAACCACAUUAAUUCUUCAUUCAUUUGUCAAUGAGCUGAAUCCAGAAUUAUGCACCUUUUGUUGUUCUGCAUCAGGGGCCUCUCCGUACUUUAUUAGUUGAGGCAAUCUGUCCUUACAGCGAAAUUCUGCGCACCAGUCCCUACUGCAGGAAGAUCUUCUCACGCAAUCUUCUGAAGAAGUGAUGUUGGAAAUGGUGGUCAACUGCUGUGGUUUUUAGAAAAAAUGCUACAAACUUUGUGAAUAAGUGUUAAAUCUCUUUUUGGUGUGGCCUUAUGUAUAUUACCUGACCUCGUUUCCUUCAUGUUCAAGUGUGGUGACAACUUCUACCUUAGCCUGAGAGAAACUUGUGACUCUUUCUUAUGUUGUAGUGUUACUUGUCAAAUACUUUACAUAGGAGAUAAUGCAGGCAACGAAGCUUCUGUUGUUACCUGUUCUGUAUUUCUUUGGAUAAUGUUUUUUCCUUGCAUAUAGUAAAGGAGCCUUAUUUUGACUUUAAA